AUUGAACGCUGGCGGCAGGCCUAACACAUGCAAGUCGAACGAGUGGCGGACGGGUGAGUAUUGUCUGGGAAACUGCCUGAUGGAGGGGGAUAACUACUGGGAACGGUAGCUAAUACAGCAUACCAUCAGAUGUGCCCCGAUGGGAUUUGCUUGUUGGUGGGGUAACGGCUCACCAAGGCGACGAUCCCUAGCUGGUCUGAUAGGCUGACCAGCCACACUGUAACUGAGACACGGUCCAGACUCCUACGUGAGGGAGCAGUGGGAAAUAUUGCACAAUGGUCGCAAGCCUGAUGCAGCCAUGCCUCGUGUAUGAAGAAGGCCUUCGGGUUGUAAAGUACUUUCAGCGGGGAGGCGUUACCCGCAGAUGAAGCACCGGCUAACUCCGUGCCAGCAGCCGCGGUAAUAC
rnacentral:rRNA from 1 species